rnacentral:miRNA from 5 species
UCACAGUGGCUGUUCUUUUU